UCCAGUCAUGGUGGCAUGUGCCUGCAGUUCCAGCUACUUGGGAGGCUGAGGUGGGAGGAUCACUUGAGCCCAGGAGUUCUGGGCUGUGGGGUGCUAUGCUGAUUCAGUGUUCGCACUAAGUUUGGCAUCAAUAUGGUGUCCUCUUGGGAGCAGGGGACCACCAGGUUGCCUAAGGAGGGUUGAACUGACCCAGGUCGGAAAUGGAGCAGGUAAAAACUCCCGUGCUGAUCAGUCAUGGAACUGCACCUGUGAAUAUCCACUGCACUCCAGCCUGGGCAGUAUAGCCAGACUCUGUCUCU
rnacentral:SRP_RNA from 1 species